GUCGAACGGAAAGGCCCUUCGGGGUACUCGAGUGGCGAACGGGUGAGUAACACGUGGGUGAUCUGCCCUGCACUUUGGGAUAAGCCUGGGAAACUGGGUCUAAUACCGAAUAGGACUACGCUCUUCAUGGGGUGUGGUGGAAAGCUUUUGCGGUGUGGGAUGGGCCCGCGGCCUAUCAGCUUGUUGGUGGGGUAAUGGCCUACCAAGGCGACGACGGGUAGCCGGCCUGAGAGGGUGACCGGCCACACUGGGACUGAGAUACGGCCCAGACUCCUACGGGAGGCAGCAGUGGGGAAUAUUGCACAAUGGGCGCAAGCCUGAUGCAGCGACGCCGCGUGAGGGAUGACGGCCUUCGGGUUGUAAACCUCUUUCACCAGGGACGAAGCGCAAGUGACGGUACCUGGAGAAGAAGCACCGGCCAACUACGUGCCAGCAGCCGCGGUAAUACGUAGGGUGCGAGCGUUGUCCGGAAUUACUGGGCGUAAAGAGCUCGUAGGUGGUUUGUCGCGUUGUUCGUGAAAACUCACAACUCAAUUGUGGGCGUGCGGGCGAUACGGGCAGACUAGAGUACUGCAGGGGAGACUGGAAUUCCUGGUGUAGCGGUGGAAUGCGCAGAUAUCAGGAGGAACACCGGUGGCGAAGGCGGGUCUCUGGGCAGUAACUGACGCUGAGGAGCGAAAGCGUGGGGAGCGAACAGGAUUAGAUACCCUGGUAGUCCACGCCGUAAACGGUGGGUACUAGGUGUGGGUUCCUUCCUUGGGAUCCGUGCCGUAGCUAACGCAUUAAGUACCCCGCCUGGGGGAGUACGGCCGCAAGGCUAAAACUCAAAAGGAAUUGACGGGGGGCCCGCACAAGCGGCCGGAGCAUGUUGGAUUAAUUCCGAUGCAACGCCGAAGAACCUUUACCUGGGGUUUGACAUGCACAGGGACGCUUGGUAAAGAUAUCAAGUUCCCUUUGUGGGCCUGGGGUGCAAGGUGGGUGCAUGGGCUUGUCGUCCAGCUCCGUGUCCGUGGAGAUGGUUGGGGUUAAAGUCCCCGCAACCGAGCCGCAACCCCUUUGUCCUAUUGUUGGCCAGCGGGGUUAUUGCCGGGGGACUCCGUAAGGAAAACUUGCCGGGGGUCAACUUCCGGAAGGAAAGGUGGGGGGAUGGACCGUCAAAGGUCAUCCAUUGCCCCCUUUAUUGUCCCAGGGGC
rnacentral:rRNA from 1 species